AUUGAACGCUGGCGGCAGGCCUAACACAUGCAAGUCGAGCGGAUGAAGGGAGCUUGCUCCUGGAUUCAGCGGCGGACGGGUGAGUAAUGCCUAGGAAUUUGCCUGGUAGUGGGGGAUAACGUCCGGAAACGGGCGCUAAUACCGCAUACGUCCUGAGGGAGAAAGUGGGGGAUCUUCGGACCUCACGCUAUCAGAUGAGCCUAGGUCGGAUUAGCUAGUUGGUGGGGUAAAGGCCUACCAAGGCGACGAUCCGUAACUGGUCUGAGAGGAUGAUCAGUCACACUGGAACUGAGACACGGUCCAGACUCCCACGGGAGGCAGCAGUGGGGAAUAUUGGACAAUGGGCGAAAGCCUGAUCCAGCCAUGCCGCGUGUGUGAAGAAGGUCUUCGGAUUGUAAGGCACUUUAAGUUGGGAGGAAGGGCAGUAAGUUAAUACCUUGCUGUUUUGACGUUACCAACAGAAUAAGCACCGGCUAACUUCGUG
rnacentral:rRNA from 1 species